UACAGGGGGGGCAAGCGUUGUUCGGAAUUACUGGGCGUAAAGGGCCCGUAGGCGGCCGAUUAAGUCCGACGUGAAAUCCCCAGGCUUAACCUGGGAACUGCGUCGGAUACUGAUUGGCUUGAAUUCGGGAGAGGGAUGCAGAAUUCCAGGUGUAGCGGUGAAAUGCGUAGAUAUCUGGAGGAAUACCGGUGGCGAAGGCGGCAUCCUGGACCGACAUUGACGCUGAACGGCGAAAGCUAGGGGAGCAAACGGG
rnacentral:rRNA from 1 species